GCGCUACUCCGAUCGGUACUGACGAAAUUCCUGAGUCUUUCGUGAAGCUCUAACUGAUUAAAAUACAUACCACUCAAAGCUCUUUCACUGCUAUCCGUGUGUUUCCCGGGACUCUCAGGUUUAAUAGAACUCAGCGCAGAUGUCGCAGACGAUGGUUGUCCACUCGUUUCUUGGCCAUUGGACACAGCUGAAUCGAUAUUCUCCGCUUGUUGUUCGGCAUUAAUGGGAGAUUUCUCCCUUUCGCCUUCCAUACGAGCAAAACCUUCAAAAAUGCGGCCUACAUUCGAACGAUAUUGUAAAAAUGCUUUGCUCACAAUCUGUAAAGCUUCUCAUUGAAUUAAAC